UACGAAGGGGGCUAGCGUUGCUCGGAAUCACUGGGCGUAAAGCGCACGUAGGCGGAUCGUUAAGUCAGGGGUGAAAUCCUGGAGCUCAACUCCAGAACUGCCUUUGAUAUUGGCGACCUUGAGUUCGGGAGAGGUGAGUGGAACUGCGAGUGUAGAGGUGAAAUUCGUAGAUAUUCGCAAGAACACCAGUGGCGAAGGCGGCUCACUGGCCCGAUACUGACGCUGAGGUGCGAAAGCGUGGGGAGCAAACAGG
rnacentral:rRNA from 1 species